ensembl:lncRNA
GGAGUGCCUUUGAACGGGGUACUGUAUGGUAGUAGGUGUCAGGAGUGUCUUUAAACGGGGUACUGUAUGGUAGUAGGUGUCAGGAGUGUCUUUGAACGGGGUACGGUAGUAGGUGUCAGGAGUGCCUUUGAACGGGGUAUGGUAGUAGGUGACAGGAGUGCCUUUGAACGGGGUACUGUAUGGUAGUAGGUGACAGGAGUGCCUUUGAACGGGGUAUGGUAGUAGGUGACAGGAGUGCCUUUGAACGGGGUAUGGUAGUAGGUGACAGGAGUGCCUUUGAACGGGGUAUGGUAGUAGGUGACAGGAGUGCCUUUGAACGGGGUACUGUAUGGUAGUAGGUGACAGGAGUGCCUUUGAACGGGGUAUGGUAGUAGGUGUCAGGAGUGCCUUUGAACGGGGUAUGGUAGUAGGUGUCAGGAGUGUCUUUGAACGGGGUAUGUUAGUAGGUGCCAGGAGUGCCUUUGAACGGGGUACUGUAUGGUAGUAGGUGACAGGUGUGCCUUUGAACGGGGUACUGUAUGGUAGUAGGUGUCAGGAGUGCCUUUGAACGAGGUACUGUAUGGUAGUAGGUGUCAGGUGCUCCGGUUCCAGUGUUCAUGAUCUGCAACACUGAUGGGUUUUUCAAGCUUAACAGUUUCCCGUGUGUAUCAAGAAUGGUCCACCACCCAAAGGACAUCCAGCCGACUUGACACAACUGUGGGAAGCAUCGGAGUCAACAUGGGCCAGCAUCCCUGUGGAACGCUUUGACACCUUGUAGAGUCCAUGCCCCGAACUGAGGAUCGGAAAACAACUUGACAAAACACUCAGGCUACAGCUACAAAACAAUUAUGUUCAGAUACAAAGUGAACUUAAAGGCCACAUUUGAUACAUUCUCUUAUUGAAUAUGGCACUAUGUACUGCCUACAUACAGUACAUACAAAGAAAUACUGUAUAGCUCUGCUCCGUAGAAAAACAGCUUUGUUCCUAUGCAACUACCCAGAAACAUAUUAUCUCAAUCUAAAUAUCCACAAAUAUGGCUCUGCAAAUAUCUAUCAUUAGUUCCAAAGGCCAACUGCCUUCUGAUGGUUCAGCUGCUUCACUCACAUAAACAGCAUCUGUCUGAAAGGUUCACUAACAUUCUCCCCAAACAAAAUAGCAUUCGACAUCAAUGUCCACCACAACGUCGCUCAGAAGAUAUUCAGCUGGACGCCAAUCAAAUGAACCGAAGGUCGAUAUCAGAGUGCAGCUCUUUGAUAUACCAUCCGCCAUAAUUGAAUCGACUCGACUCCCGUCAUCAUGAAUAUGUAUGAGAGUUAAUCGUGCAGGUGCACUUCGGUGACAUCAUUCACUUUAAUGAUUCCAUUCAUUCUGAUAGAUGAAACGUUCCACCAGGGACGAGGUGAGAUAGCAAUAGAACGGAACUAGAUGUCUGUUUGCUUUCGCUUUCAACAGAAGGACACUAAUUUGCACUUGUAUUGUAAAGCCUCAGACAGAGGCAGUAUGAACUCUCAUUGAAAUAGCUUCUACGACAUUUAGAAGAACUGUUACAUGAUGCUGUUCUUGGAUGAAAGGGAA